UACGUAGGGUGCGAGCGUUAAUCGGAAUUACUGGGCGUAAAGCGUGCGCAGGCGGUUUUGUAAGACGGAUGUGAAAUCCCCGGGCUUAACCUGGGAAUGGCAAUGGAGACUGCAAGGCUAGAGUUUGGCAGAGGGGGGUAGAAUUCCACGUGUAGCAGUGAAAUGCGUAGAGAUGUGGAGGAACACCGAUGGCGAAGGCAGCCCCCUGGGUCAAGACUGACGCUCAUGCACGAAAGCGUGGGGAGCAAACAGG
rnacentral:rRNA from 1 species